GCGUCCUUAGCUCAGCUGGAUAGAGUACCUGGCUACGAACCAGGCGGUCGGAGGUUCGAAUCCGCCAGGAUGCGCCA
rnacentral:tRNA from 1 species